UGAACGCUGGCGGCAGGCCUAACACAUGCAAGUCGAGCGAAUGAGGGUAGCUUGCUACCUGAUUUAGCGGCGGACGGGUGAGUAAUGUAUAGGGAGCUGCCCGAUAGAGGGGGAUACCAGUUGGAAACGACUGUUAAUACCGCAUAAUGUCUACGGACCAAAGUGUGGGACCUUCGGGCCACAUGCUAUCGGAUGCACCUAUAUGGGAUUAGCUAGUUGGUGGGGUAACGGCUCACCAAGGCGACGAUCCCUAGCUGGUUUGAGAGGAUGAUCAGCCACACUGGAACUGAGACACGGUCCAGACUCCUACGGGAGGCAGCAGUGGGGAAUAUUGGACAAUGGGCGCAAGCCUGAUCCAGCCAUGCCGCGUGUGUGAAGAAGGCCUUCGGGUUGUAAAGCACUUUCAGAAGUGAGGAAGGGUGUGUAGUUAAUACCUACAUAUCUUGACGUUAGCUUCAGAAGAAGCACCGGCUAACUCUGUGCCAGCAGCC
rnacentral:rRNA from 1 species